rnacentral:rRNA from 1 species
UACGUAGGGUCCGAGCGUUGUCCGGAAUUAUUGGGCGUAAAGAGCUCGUAGGCGGUCCGUUAAGUCGGAAGUGAAAUCUCAAGGCUCAACCUUGAAAUCGCUUUCGAUACUGGCGGACUUGAGGCAGGUAGGGGAAGGUGGAAUUCCUGGUGUAGCGGUGAAAUGCGCAGAUAUCAGGAGGAACACCGGUGGCGAAGGCGGCGACCUGGUCCAUUACUGACGCUGAGGCGCGACAGCGUGGGGAGCAAACAGG